rnacentral:lncRNA from 1 species
CCAUUUAAAAUAAAAGGGCCCAUUACUCCUCAGUUUUAUAUGAGCUUACAUGCUUUCAUUGUGCAGAGUGUGUUAUUAAUUUAACAUGCCAGAUUCAUAGGUUUCUGCAAUAUCAGGUUUGAUGUAUUCAUUAUCGGCACUCAGUACAUUAAUUCACGCUGAAGUCCGGUAAAUCAAAAUUAUACCAUCUGGCUUCCUGUUCUUAAUGAUGAAUUUGAUGUAGGGGUGAUUAAGAUUGUUAGGCUUUUGAAUUUUAAUGUAAAAAUUAGGGGAUUAAAAAGGCAUUUAGAAAUGACCAAUAGUUAGAAUAAACUUACUGACAGG